rnacentral:rRNA from 1 species
GACGAACGCUGGCGGCGUGCUUAACACAUGCAAGUCGAACGGUAAGGCCCUUCGGGGUACACGAGUGGCGAACGGGUGAGUAACACGUGGGUGAUCUGCCCUGCACUUCGGGAUAAGCCUGGGAAACUGGGUCUAAUACCGGAUAGGACCCUGGGAUGCAUGUCCUGGGGUGGAAAGCUUUUGCGGUGUGGGAUGGGCCCGCGGCCUAUCAGCUUGUUGGUGGGGUGAUGGCCUACCAAGGCGACGACGGGUAGCCGGCCUGAGAGGGUGACCGGCCACACUGGGACGGAGAUACGGCCCAGACUCCUACGGGAGGCAGCAGUGGGGAGUAUUGCACAAUGGGCGCAAGCCUGAUGCAGCGACGCCGCGUGAGGGAUGACGGCCUUCGGGUUGUAAACCUCUUUCAGCACCGACGAAGCGCAAGUGACGGUAGGUGCAGAAGAAGGACCGGCCAACUACGUGCCAGCAGCCGCGGUAA